AUGGCAACCCACUCCAGUGUUCUUGCCUGGAGAAUCCCAGGGACGGGGGAGCCUGGUGGGCUGCUGUCUAUGGGAUCGCAGAGUUGGACACGACUGAAGCGACUUAGCAGCAGCAGCAGCAGCGGCUCUAUAGUCUACAAAAGAUCUGGUGGUGGCAGUGCCUGGAAUGGUGGCGUUUCCAUCUCAAAGCUGCAAGUGGCAUUUUGGGGGAGAGGAACAUAUCAUAAGAGACCUCCUGCAUACAGGGAGAACCCACAACUGCACCCAUAGCUGCUGUCCAUGGUGCUGAUCAUCUAAAGAAAGCGUGCUGCAAGAGAAGAAGCAUCAGAAAAAUCAUUAUGAAAUUUGCAUGAGUAAACCUAAGGAUCCUGUCUUCUACUCCUCCACGAUCAAACAGAAUAGGUUUCCAAAACUGGGUAAGUGAGCAUGCAUGAUUAGAGACUCCUGAUCCCAUCCUUGUAACAUCAACGUAACAUCCACAAGUACUGAGGAACACAGUACUAGAGCCACAGGAAACCUGGAAAGAGCCAAAGUUGGGAGCAGACUUAAUGAUUACCAUGGAGUUCCCACACUUAGCCAAUCCUGUGCUACUGAGGACUAAGCCCUAGUAUCAGUUUAACCAAGCCUUCUAAAUCACUUCAGAUUCUCCUCUAACUCUCCAGAAGAUUUAAGAUCUCCUGGUAUUUCUCAUGACUGGCUUCUUGAGUCCCCAAACCUUGAACCUCUAAAACUCAGAAUCUUUGCAGACUCUGCAUUACAAAAACUUUCAAAAAGCAGAAGCAAAUUUUAGAUAAAUUGAUACAACAGAGAAGACAGUGUUUCACUGAGACAGUAAUCAAGAGCAAGUGCCAAAGAAGGGGAAAUGGGGGAAAUUAUGGAAGAUUCACUGUUUUGAAACCCAGAAUUUACCUGAAUUUUGCUUUUGGGAAAACAACCACUGUCUCACUCUCAAACCAUGUGUUUUGGGUAAAGAUGAUUCCAAACCUAAGCAUGUGAUCCAAGCCUAAGCCUGUCAAUGCAUUCUCUAUUCUAAUCACAGCUUUCAGGUAGAGGUUGGGAUAUGCUUCAAACAAGGUAAUAAAGCCUAAUUAGGACAAUUCA
ensembl:lncRNA